AUUGACCUCGGAUCAGGUAGGAAUACCCGCUGAACUUAAGCAUAUCAAUAAAGCGGAGGAAAA
rnacentral:rRNA from 1 species